AAUCAUUAUCGACACAGGAAUGUGUUGGCAGACAAAUUUCCAACUACAACUUCUGUUCUAUAUACAAAGGAAAACUGUUACUCUAUAUACACAGGAAAAUAAUUCUACGAACACUUAAAAGAAGCAAAUAACAUCGGUCAUCUUGCCCAUGCGAACAACCAGAUUUGGUCAUCUUCCUAUGACUGCAAGGAUCUUUGACAUGGGACACGUCCUUCUUGCACAAAGGGGUUUUCGUCUACCUUGACCUCCAGCACUAUAUUUGAAAGAAUCCGCGGACAAUUGAUUGGGAGGUUGUUGAUGUGCGGCAUGGCAACGUUAAGAACCUUGCAUAUAUCAUCUUCCGAUUGGCUGGCUGCAAUACUCUGAAGGCCAUCACAACCUGCAACCGAGCAGAAAGCAUGCAUCUACUGCCAUAAGAAGUGGUCUGGUAAUGCAGAAGUAAAUUAGAGACUCCAAACAAAAGGCCCAGAAAAAUGUACCAACUAAUUAGACAAGUGAAUUGGUGCUAUAUUAAAUGCUAAUGAUCAAACUACAGUACAAAUAAGGUUUUGAGUCCUAAAGGUUUGCUUCAGUUCCGAUAACUAUUGCAUGCUAUCAAGUACUGUCCUUACUGCCUUGGUCUUAUUGCCUAUAGUGGCAUCGAGGUUAAUAUGCAAUUCCAUAAUACCAAGCUCCUGAAAGCAUAAGAAUUAAUUCAGGUAUUAAAGAUGUGGAGACGACCAAACUAGCUACAUUCUAGUCAAAUAUUCCACAUUCCAUUCUAAUUCAGCACGUAUCGUCCCUCACGAAUACCAUAAGGACAGACGGCAGCAGAAAGUCAGGAACAUUUCAAAGCUAACUCUUGAGAUUGUAGAUACCUCAUAAGCUGCAAGCAUAGAAGCAUGAGGUGAAUAUUCACACAACUUUGAUCUUCAUCUCAUGUUCUUGCCGUUCAUAACACAGAAGUCGGAGAUCAAGCUGGGCAGGGAACAGCGCUCUAUGGGUAGAAAGGUGGAAAACACAUGCUGAUGGCCGGCAGCUGCGGCAAGCAUGAAACCCUGAAGCAGGGAAAUCACAUUUAUGCCAAAUUAGCUAGGUAUUCCUACAAAGCAACUAAAAGACUGAAACUACUAUGACAUACAGUAAUAACUGUUGGGGCCCUCCCUACAGUUUGUUUCAGAAAAAACUAUUGCCACAAAAGCUAGCCCGCACAGAUGUGUCAAAAUGAGAUAUUGAAAACCAUCUUUAUGCAAAAUCCGCAGCAUGGCCAUAGCUAGAUGGCUGCCACCUCCUACAAGAGAAAAAAAAUCAACAGAAAUAAUAUUUUUCUAUAUGAUUAAGCUUACGAAAAAGGAUUCAACUCAACCAGUGUUUCUUGCUUUGCUCCAAAAUCACACGAGCGUUCAACCGAAAAUCGAGUAAGAUCAAAUAUUACCACCUUGAAUCAACAGCAGAGCAGAUCCAUAAUUAAUUAGCAUCAAGACUCUGUAAUUAAACAAGAACAAAAUAUCAAAAGAAAUUAGGAGGCAUUCUAUUGAAGAGAAAAGCAGCACUGAUGUUUUGCAUAGUGAAUAGAUCAAACAAAUCCAUAGUUGGAUACCGUCAAUGCUGAAGUGAAGCCCAG
rnacentral:lncRNA from 1 species